UACGAAGGGGGCUAGCGUUGUUCGGAAUUACUGGGCGUAAAGCGCACGUAGGCGGAUCGAUCAGUCAGGGGUGAAAUCCCAGGGCUCAACCCUGGAACUGCCUUUGAUACUGUCGAUCUGGAGUAUGGAAGAGGUGAGUGGAAUUCCGAGUGUAGAGGUGAAAUUCGUAGAUAUUCGGAGGAACACCAGUGGCGAAGGCGGCUCACUGGUCCAUUACUGACGCUGAGGUGCGGAAAGCGUGGGGAGCAAACAGG
rnacentral:rRNA from 1 species